CUAGGAUAUGUGUACUAUUGUACCCGACUUUCAACUUCCCUUGCUGUCAGGGGACUGCCUGGCCCUGAACAGUGAGCUCCAUCAGGCCAACUUCAAGCGCUCUAAGGCCAGUUUGGAAAAGAAGCAGCCUCGUGUCGCGGGAAGCAUUUGUUCCAAAUUCUGUGCUGGUCUGGGACUGCUCUCCAGCAGGGGCAUCUCAGAGAUCAUCUCGAGUAAUGGAGCCUGACUUCUGUGAUGAGUGAAAGAAUCCAGGUUGGUAAAACAGAUGGCCAUCGAAUGACCAAAAAGUAAGCAAGGAUGAUUUGCAUCAGUGUAACAUGUAACUGAUUAAGCAUGAUUCCAUUUUGGAAAGAAAGAAUUGAUGCCUAUGUAAUCGAGGAUUAGUUUAAUCUGCAUAAACUGUAACAAAAAGCUACAAGCUAUGCCAGACGGAAUGCUGAGGACCCUGGGCCAUGCAAAGGAAAAUACAUUGCCCAGAGCAAGCAUUUUUAAUUUCUUGAGUGUUUAAUUUCAUGCCCUCUAAUUCUGUUUCUUGAAUCACUUCUGUUUUUCCUGAUCUCAGGACUACCUAACUUUGCCGGCCCACUAAUAGUAAUAACCUUGGAUGGGUUGUCUUUUAUAGCCAGAUAGCUCAACAUUUUUUUCUUUUUAAAGAAGUAUUAAGCCCUUUAGUCCUCUCAUAAAAAUAUGGGGCCACCCACCGGGCUGAAUGCAGGGCUGGGGAUCAGGAAUGCCGCCCCCUCAGUCCAGCUGCCUCUGCCCACGUGGUCUUAAUCAGGGUCUCCCUCUGUGGCUUUAAAAGGGUGACAAUCUUGUGCUUGAGAAGGAUUAUUGUAGGAAGGUGUAAACUGAAGCGUCAAGGGCUCGCCUCACCUCCCCAAGGUUACCACUAUGUUUCUUUGCGCCAUGGCGUCUGGUUUGACCUUCACUACCCUCUAGAAGCUGUGAACCCACACAACAUGAAUAUUCUAUGUGUGCCAUUUGACUUUAUUUUGUUUUACAAAGAACAAAAUGAACAGAAACAGUGGGAUUGGGGGAAGGGGUGGGACUAUGAGAAUCAAUUCUAGGGAUUUUGCAAAUGGAUAA
rnacentral:lncRNA from 1 species